rnacentral:rRNA from 1 species
GACAGAGGCCCCAAGCGUUAGGCGGAAUCACUGGGCUUAAAGCGUGUGUAGGCGGACGCCUAAGUGUCUUGUGAAAUCCCACGGCUCACCCGUGGAACUGCUGGGCAUACUGGGCGUCUUGGGCCAACUAGGGGCAGCCGGAACAAGCGGUGGAGCGGUGAAAUGCGUAGAUAUCGGGAGGAACACCUGUGGCGAAAGCGGCGCACUGGACCAUAACUGACGCUGAGGCGCGAAAGCUAGGGGAGCAAACAGG